rnacentral:rRNA from 1 species
UGGGGAAUAUUGCACAAUGGGCGAAAGCCUGAUGCAGCAACGCCGCGUGAGUGAUGAAGGCCUUCGGGUUGUAAAGCUCUGUCUUUUGGGAUGAUAAUGACGGUACCAAAGGAGGAAGCCACGGCUAACUACGUGCCAGCAGCCGCGGUAAUACGUAGGUGGCAAGCGUCGUCCGGAUUUACUGGGCGUAAAGGAUGCGUAGGCGGAUUUUUAAGUGAGAUGUGAAAUACCCGGGCUUAACUUGGGUGCUGCAUUUCAAACUGGGAAUCUAGAGUGCGGGAGAGGAGAAUGGAAUUCCUAGUGUAGCGGUGAAAUGCGUAGAGAUUAGGAAGAACACCAGUGGCGAAGGCGAUUCUCUGGACCGUAACUGACGCUGAGGCAUGAAAGCGUGGGUAGCAAACAGGAUUAGAUACCCUGGUAGUCCACGCCGUAAACGAUGAGUACUAGGUGUAGGAGGUAUCGACCCCUUCUGUGCCGCAGUUAACACAAUAAGUACUCCGCCUGGGAAGUACGAUCGCAAGAUUAAAACUCAAAGGAAUUGACGGGGUCAUAGCUGUUUUCCU